rnacentral:piRNA from 1 species
UGUAUUUCAUCUACAAUGUUCUUACCUUGAC